UUGAUAUUAAACUACAUUCCUACUUGAACACCAAAAUAUUGCAUCCAGCUUUCUUUUGAUGUUAGAUAUUCAAUUUUUAUCUUAUAACAAACAGACAUUAUCUGUAUAAAUUAAAAAAAGAUAUGAUUACUUUGUUAUAUUCUUCCAUAUAGAUGGGCCUUUAUUUUUUAAAUGAAAGUUGCUGUCAUUUGGUCAGCACCAUGUAUCGGUAUGUACCAGUAUGUAUAUGCUAUUAAGCAAUAUAUUUUUGAAUUCAAGUUUUGAAGAUAUUUUAAAUGUGAUUCUAAAUAUCUAAACAGUUAAGCAUAGUUCUUUUGUUGAAACAAUAUGUCAUUUCUGCUUGUGUUGAAAAGCUUUCAUGUGUGCUAUAUUUAUGCCCCAAGUGUCAAAGGCGUGAGAGGCAUAUAGUGUUUGAACAGUCUGUCCUUCCAACAUUCUGUCACACUUUUUUGUGUACUCAACUUCUCAUACAGAUUUCAUCCAGUUCGAAUGAGACUUUAUGUACUUCAUCAGUAUGUAAUGGACAUGAGCAUAUUUUUGGACCUUCAUAUUCAGUUCCUUUUAUAAUUGUACCUAUUUUUGGGCUGAUUUUAUGUACUCAACUCCUACUGCAGUUUCCAUCAGAUUCAGAUUGAACUUGGUAUCCUUCUGCAACAUGUACAUGUUGUUGAGAAUUUCAUGUCAGAUUUUUUUUAGUUUGCCCCUUUUUUGACUGUAUAUGUUACUCUGUGAAGCAUUUUAAAGGGCCAUGUGUCAUACAAUGUUGAUAUCAUUCUUGUAGUGACAUACCCUUGUUUUGAAAAUGUCUGUGACAAAGACUUCUAUGUUAUUUGAAUACAUAUAUGUAAUUUGCUUGUAUCAAGCUCGUAUGUUUUGUAGAAUUUCUAUUUUUAUCUGUGUAAUUCCACUUAUUUUAUGAAUUAUAUUUUUGCACAUAUAAGGUUUCUGUAUAAAAAAAGUUUUAUGUUUUCAUUUUAUGUUAGUUUUAUUGCAACUUAGUUAAUUAAGUCAGCAAUUAUUUAAUGGUAAUUUUACUCAUUUAAUUUUACUGAAAAUAUGUAUUUUGAUAUCAGUGCCGUAAAAUGUGGUUUAUAUGGUAACCCUUGCCUUUUUGAUCAGUACACCACUUCAUACUUAGUUUGCAUGCUGCACAAAUCAUAUUUCCGUAGAGAAAAACAUCAGGUACCAGGGUUUUUUUUCUCCAUACAUCGUAUACCCCUCUCUAGUAAACAGUCCAGUCUGAUAUAUACUUCUUUUUGAAUAGGGCAUCUUAUUUUAGUGUUGUUUUAUGUUGACUUUACUUUAUUAAACAAGUUGAAUAGAAUGAUAAAAUGCAAGGCUGCGUUGAAUAUUUUAUCAAUUUUAUUUAAGAAAUUUAAUAAAUUGAGCCGUGCCAUGAGAAAACCAACAUAGUGGGUUUGCAACCAGCAUGGAUCUAGACCAGCCUGCGCAUCCACGCAGCCUAGUCAGGAUCCAUGCUGUUCACUUUUAAAGCCUAUUGGAGUUGGAGAAACUGUUAGCAAACAGCAUGGAUCCCGACCAGACUGCGCGGAUGCACAGGCUGGUCUGGAUCCAUGCUGGUCACAAACCCACUAUGUUGAUUUUCUCAUGGCACGGCUCAAUUUAAUGUGGAAAGACAGAAAUGUAAGAUUCUUUUUAUCAUAUGUUAGCUUUUUUCUGCUGAAACAUUCAAGCUACUUCUUUCUUUACCUACUUUAGAUCAAGUCAGUUCCACCAACGUCUUGAAACAAAAUCAUCGUCAGAGUGUAAUUACAAAAGAGUAAUUAUUGGUGCUAAUUCACUGUCACAAUGUCAAAUAUGUGAUAAAAUAAUUUGUUCCUUAAGACUAAUUGAUAACAAUCACUGCUUGAAAUGAUAUGGUUGUUAAAUUUCAUUCAUUUAUAGCUUUGUUUGUUUGUUUUUGAGUGGGUUUGUGGGAUUAUACAGUAGGGAAAAACCCAUAGAUUGUUUCCCGAACAGGAAGUUUUCCCUACUGGUAUUAUGGUGAUUGCUAUAGUAACAGGUAAAACCUAGUUGAUCCAGAGCCCAAAACUUUCACAACAAAUGGCCAAUAUUUUUGUGGUUUCAUUUUGUUUUUGGAAUACACUUUGAAUGCAUGUUGUCUUCAGAAUGCUGCUUGAAUUAGUAUUACAAGGUAUCAUUCAUUUAAAAAAGUUUACUGCAUUUGUAAUAAUGCUUCAAAAUUAAAAACCUGUUUCAAGGUCUUGAAAUAAUUCCAUAGAUUGGGUAUUCACUUCCCCUUUUUAUCAUGAUUGAAGUUGUAAGACUUAUUUGAUAAUUCAAGACUCAUAAAUGUUCAUAUUUCAAAACAUAAUACUGGAAAACAUUCACAUUGCUGUUAUAAUUAUAAAUUUAUGUUUUUAUAGAUUUGAUAACAGUUGUUUUAAAAUUGUAGCAAACAAAGCCAUGGGAAUAUUAAUGAAUAAGUAUUUUACAGAGAUAUCCACUAUCGCCAUUUGUAUAACAUGUAGUUUUUGUAGUGUUUACUUCUUUAUAAUAGUAUGCUAUGUGACAAUGGACUGAAUUUCUUAAAAUUAAUUUGUUGUGUUCAGUGAUUGACCUAACUUGCCAUUCCUACUGAAAGGCUAAAAUUAAGUGUACCAAAAUGAAACAAAAUACAGUAAUUAACUAUAAUUUAAUAUGUUAAUUGGCCAAUAUAUUUCAAAAAGUCAAAAUAAAAUCACACAGACUGUGCCAAAAUGUUCUAAUUUACUGUUAUUACUGAUACUGCCGGUUAAAACAACACUAAAUCUUGUGCAAUCUCGAUUGAUUUAAUUUGGAUUUUUAAGGAUAGUCAUUAAUAAAUCUGGUAGAGGUGAAGAAAAAAAUUACCCAUGGUACAGCUUUUGCAUGGUAUUAUAUAAUCAGAUAUUUCUUUGAGGUUAAAAUUUGGCUGUAUUUAGAAUUGAAAUUGCUUUGGGGAGGUAGAGUAUUCACAAUUUAUGGCCAGUUUGUAAGACGUACAGUUCUAUAUAUAGUAAUAAAAAUGGUUUUGCUUGCAUAUAUUUUUGCGAAAACUAAGUCCAUAAAAUAAAUCCAUUGCAAAAUUUCAGAUUUUACAGUAUAAAGCUUUAAGCAGUUUGAUGAGGAUGUUUGAGCUACUGCAGCUUUUGAUAUAACUUUGUGAUAAGCUUUCUUGUGAUCUUGUUUCCUUGUACCUGUCUCGUAAUGCAUUCUGUAACACAUGUGCUUGCUUAUCUCUUCUAUAUAUUCUAUGUAGGCUUAGGGUUAGGGAUGGAUGGGGUACUCUCUUUUGUGGAGCAGGGCUUAGUUGUGAUCCUAUGCCAUUAUUUAUAUUAUGUAGUAUGUAGAGGAAUAUGCUGUUCUAAUUUCUAUUAGAUGCUCAAAAUAUUGUCAUCCUUUUAUUUUGAUGUAAGUCAUUGUUUUUUUGUUGUGUCAUUCGGUAACCUUGUAAGCCAGGUUAGAAAAGCUCUGAUAUGGUGAGAUAUUUAAAGGCUGCCAAAUCUUCAAGUGAUUUUUGCAUCAGUAUUUAGAACAAGGAAAAUUCAUGUGUAAAUGGACAUCAUACCAAUUCAUGUGUAACAGGAGAUCAUACUGUAACUCUGUUGCUUUAUUAAUACUUGUUUUAUCUCUUUGAACAUUUUGUUACUCAAAUGGUAAAUACCCAGUUGCAAACUUCCCAAUAUUUUAAUGAUAUCAUUUUAAAUAUACCCUAAAUGUUGCUUUAUAAUUUGCUUUUAUAACUAUUGUUCAUAUUCAUUUACCUGCAGCAUUGUGAAUGUCUGUACUAUGUAUGUAACUUUCAGUUUUGACAUAAAUUUUGCACACUGAUUCCUUUGUGUAUUGUUGUGUUAUAAAGGACAAUUUUACACAAUAAGUUAUUAUUCAGAAACCAUAUUUGAGCCGUGCCAUGAGAAAACCAACAUAGUGGCUUUGUGACCAGCAUGGAUCCAGACCAGCCUGCGCAUCCGCGCAGUCUGGUCAGGAUCCAUGCUGUUCACUAAAAGUUUCUCUAAUUGCAGUAGGCUAUAAAAGCGAACAGCAUGGAUUCUGACCAGACUGCGCGGAUGCGCAGGCUGGUCUGGAUCCAUGCUGGUCGCAAAGCCACUAUGUUGGUUUUCCCAUGGCGCGGCUCAUUUACAGUUUUGUUAUGCUUUAAUCAUUCAUUUCAUUUUUGGGUAUGCUUUGUGAUAAAUUCUAACGACAGUGCAACAUCUAUAGAGUGAACACUGCUUGAACACCUGAAAUGUUUUUGUAGGACAGAGAUGGUUGGUUUAUAGAGAUUAAUAUACCAGUACUAAACACUUCUCAUCAGAAGUAAGAUAUCUGUCCUAGUAGGGAGGGAGAGGGGCCAUGUGGUUAGUCGCUGACUUCACUUGCCCCUGGCUAACCACCCCCAGUAUGCCUGAAACAAUGUCUAUAGUGGCACCUUGGAUCUUCCUCCAUUGUCAUAAGCUGGAAAAGUCACCAAUGACCUAAAUUGUGUCAGUGCGACUCAACCAAAAAAUCUUUUUAUUUAAUAUAUCAUUUUAAAAAUUGUGCCAAUUCAAAUUUUAAGACAACGUCAACAAAAUGGUCUUUUUUAACAUAGCAACGCACAUUUAUUUCAUUAGUUUUUAUCACCAGCAUUGUGAAUGAGGGUAAUAUGUUAUAUAUAUUUAUACAGAUCGUCUAAUAAGUGUAUGAUAGCACUAAAUCUUGUAUCAUUAAAGCUUUAACCUGAAAAUUGAGUUAAAUUUGUAUUAGCAACAGUGGGUCUUGAUGUGUAUUGCUUGUUUAUAAAUGGCAAUGACUUUGGUUUCUGUAGGUUUAAAGGUUAAUUACUAAACUUUAAGAAUUAUCGUAUGUAAACUAGCACUUGUUCCCUUCAUUACAUUAAACCUAAGAAUGUGUUGUUUGACUUAAAUAAUUUUAACAUAUAUUAGACAGCAGUCAGGUCUUCUAUCAGAUUAACCUGUUCCAAGUGUUUUUUUACUAAUUAUUUCAUUAGAAUAAAUCUAGUUUGAAAGUGGAAAGGCAUCUCAUAUUUAAUCUUUGAAGGAAUUACAGGUGAUGGUAUAAAAUGUUAUGGUGACCAUCCUUAGAGAAAAAUUUUUCAAUUAGGUAUGUGUAAUUUUUGUUAAAUGUUGAAACACAUUGCAUCACGGUGAGGAUGCGUACACCGGAUAUUGCCAUUUAGUGAUAAGGUAUUUUCCGAAAACGUGUUUAUUUUUCGUCAACAAGAUUCAACUUGUUUAUGUGUGUUUAUGGCUGGCUCGACGAACGAAUUUAAGGGCAUUGUAUGUCAUUUUGUUGAACACCACCCAAAAUACGAGAUUAUAGUACGCUAACGACCAAAACGGCAAAAAAGUAAAUUGCAUAUGCAGAGAAAAAAGCAGAAAAGUACUGUUGAUUCAGAAAAUAUUAACAUACUUGUUUCAAAAAGGAAUCCGGUUACAAAAGAGACCAAUUUGCAACAGAAAGAAACCUUUGAUUUGGACAAAUGGUGAGUAGCCUGUUCAUUGACGGCAGUGGAAAUGUAUGCUACCUAUCUCGCAAUUCCAUGGACAGACAGGCUUUUCAAAGAGUAUUGUUAUACAGUCUAUGAAAGAAUGUGACAAAGAAACGUUUUCUUCGAUUUUAUAGUUUCCUAUAUUUCUUGACGUCGCAAAAUGUUUUCAUCGACAACUUGGUUAAUAUGAGGUAUAGUGAAGACUGCAAGUUGUUUUGAAGAGCAGGCUUAUAACUCUUCCACUGAUUUUAAAAUUAUACAACUUCUUGCAUAACAGAGACCGCAUUUCUGACGCUAAAUUAAGAGCAAAGAGAAAAGCAAGACAGACGAAUACUUAUUGACAUUAAAAGAAGCAGCCAGUUACUGCAUAAAUGUGAUGAGUGUACAUUACUUCCACAUAAGACUUGGCAUUGAUACUGAAAUAGGUUCUGUUGUGACAGAUUUAUUUUACCACCAAGUAUUAUUGUAAAAGUCAUGUUUUACUUUGAUAAAGAACAAAAAGUCAUGUACAUUGAAAUAUUUAUUAGAUAAACUUGAAACGUAAACACAAAUUCAUAAAAUAGCAAAGAUAAUAAUAAGAUAGUAGAACAACUCUAUAAGAUUUGUCUUUCGUUCUAAUCCUUUCCACCAACUGUACUUGUAAUGUUAGUAUAUAAAUAUAGUUAUGUAUAUUGUUGGGAAUAAAUAUGUUUAAACCAAAGAUCAUAAACAUUUGACAUUCAACAGUUUGAAUACAUGAAAAAAAAUCGAAAUGAUCUUUAAGAGAGUUCCCGAUCGUUUUAUAUAGUUCAAAGUUGACCUUGACAAUAAAUAUAUAGUUUUGGUCAACAGAGAAGUUGAUCACAUAAAAGUGAUAACGAACUGUUUGCAUAGAAAUGACAUAUAUCUUGCAAAUGAAGUGUGCAAAAUACUUUCAAGAAAAACACAUGGCACUGUUUCCUCCUACUUUUAACACAAACUGCUCAGUGCAUAUGACACAAAUUUUGUUUCGUAUGAAGCAAGUUGUGAGCUAAUUACCUUUCAGAACAAGGCAUUUAAACCAAUAAAAAUAGCUUUGACUAUAUUAUUUAAGAAAAUUUCAAGUGAAACUAGUUCGAAGGUUUUACGUUGAAUGAGUCUAGGGUUAUUGAGGAGAAACAACUUUAAAAGUUCAAAGCCCCUACCAUACUGACCUUUGAACUAUUGACACCAUAAUCGAUAAAGGUCGUCUGCUGACCAAGGUUUAUGUCUCUUUGUAGUAUGAAAGUGAAAGGAUAACAUAUUUCCAUGUUUGCUCUUCUUGUAAUGUGAGACCUUUUCCACACUUGUCGUCAUCAUAUCCUGUGUUCCAUUAUUAUAAAACUUAAAUUCACGGCUGAACUUGUGGCUGGGUCUUUACUCGGCAGUGGAUAGUCUUUAGACAGUUUCUCGGAGUGACUAUUGGCAUGCCGCUGUAAUUGUAAGUUGUAAUAUCAGUGUUCAAACUGGUGCUUGUUAUUUUCGCUGUGAAGUCUAAUUUCAUCUGCAAACAGAAAAAGAUAUUCCGUCAUUUAAGCCGACGGAAUUAAGUGCCUCGUUUAUCUAAUGACCAUAAAUGCUGAAAAUAUGCACAUUUUCCAAUAACAAUACUCAGUACACCAAACUGCAAUACACAGUACAAAUAUUACUUUGAAAACUCAAUACACAGUACACCAUCGACGCUCAUUUAUCACCGAUUUCUCCGUAAUUUGAACAUUUACAAAGCUGAAAUUUUGCACAUUUUUUCUUUGUAUGUGACUAAAUAAAUCGUACGAUUCAGAUUUUCUCCACAAUGCAAAUAGGUUAUGGUAUCAGGACAAAUGUUUUUACGGCAUGCAUUUAUCAAAUGAUAAACUUGUCAUUUUAUCAAAAUGUUUAGCAUUUCUACUUAAGAUUGGCCCAUUUUACGCUUGUGAGAGCAUAUAUGUAGUAUCUAGUUAUGAAAAGUAAUGUUUUUUUCUUAUGUAGUAGUAUAAUACAAUAGUAAAUCGGGAUUUUACUUACCUUGUUAACGAAAUAUAAUCACGUUUUCGGAAAAUACCUUAUCACUUGGCGGCAAUAUCCGGUGUACGCAUCCUCACCGUGUGCAUGGUAACAGAGUAACCUUUGACUACUUUACCUUAUUCAGAACUCAAUCUAGCUUUCUUGAUAAGAUUUUUCUCUUUUUUUCAGCCCAUUUCAUAUUUUAUCAUACAAAUUACAUUGUUAUUGCCUUCUGUUUAAUCCAUUCCUGUUUAUGUGGCCCAAGAUGUUGAAAAAUUUAGUUGAUAGUUUUGAUGUGUUACAUUUUAUGUCAUAUAGACAUUAACCAUUUGUUUCAAAUAAGCCAUUAGACAGUUCAGGGGUGUAAGGCUGUCAACUUAAAGGGACAUGCUUCCAUCAUGAUACCAUGAUACCAUGAUUUUAAGAAUAGAUGGCAACAAAGAGGCAAUUUAAAAAUCAUUUAUUACUAUUAUUUAAGUCAAUAUAUUAGGGGCUCCAAAAUACAGUCAAACUCCCUGCUAUUUUUACAGCAUAUUUGACUGUGUGACUGCCAAAAAAAAAUGAAAACAUAGUGAUAACUGGCUGUUUUCUCUUUAAAUCUUUUAUUGCAAUGAUCAUUCCAUCAGUACCCAGGAUGUUUAUUAAGAGUGAUAAAAGUGCCAUCAUCCAAAAACAAGAUUUGGUUGCCACAAAAUUUUACAAGAUUUCUCUCUGAUGUUGUCAUGAGAAUUUUAUAAUAUUAUCUGGUUUAUUUCAUAGAUCUUUUGACAAACGCAGUAUGGAGCUUUUUUACUUAUUUUACAGGCUUUUGCAAACAAGUAAUUAGAAUUCAUUGGGAUUACUUUUGGUUUUACUUUCUAUGUACUAUAACUCACAAUAAAGAAGUACAUUCUAAGUUUGUAAAAAAAUGUUGUCAGUCUGUAGGCAUGCCCCUUUAAAAGAUACUUCUCGAAAAAUGGAGGACUUUUUUUUAAACAGCACGAUUGGGUUAAAAUAUGGUUUCAAUACAUGAAGUACUAUUUUAUUACUAAGUAUUUUAAGACGUUGAUUUAGUAAACAGGCCUUGUGCUUAAACUUUUAACUGUCGUUACUGUUGCUUAAAAAGGCAGCACAAAGAUAUUAGUUUUCAUGGACUUUGAAUUGUGCACUACUUUUCCACCCAAAGAAUCAUUUUACUGUGAAAAGGAUUAUAAUUAAAUAAUAAAUAUGUAUAAAAUAUAUGCUGAGUUUAUUUUAUGACCUCUUGAUUGUUUGUGUGUUCUGUCAAUAGAGCUAAACAAAUACAUCCAUUCAUCAACA